CACGCUGCGCUUUGGUCCGCCUCUACUUCACAAGAAGAGAAUCGUUACAGAAUCACCCACAAACACACAGUGAAACCCAGGCUACCUAAAUAUGGUUCCCAAUCAGAGACAAUGACGAACACCUGCCUCUGAUUGAGAACCAUAUCAGGCCGAACAUAGAACUAGACAAACUAGACAUGAAACAUAGAAUGCCCACUCAGAUCACACCCUGACCAACCACAACAUAGAAAUAUACAAAGUAAACUAUGGUCAGGGUGUGACAUGUAUAAGUUAGUCAGAGAGAUGUGUAAGUUAGUCAGAGAAAUGUGUAAGUUAGUCAGAGAGAUAUAUAAGUUAGACAGAGAGAUGUAUAAGUUAGUCAGAGAGAUGUAUAAGUUAGUCAGAGAGAUAUAUAAGUUAGACAGAGAGAUGUAUAAGUUAGUCAGAGAGAUGUGUAAGUUAAACAGAGAGAUGUGUAAGUUAGACAGAGAGAUGUAUAAGUUAGUCAGAGAGAUGUAUAAGUUAGUCAGAGAGAUGUAUAAGUUAGUCAGAGAGAUAUAUAAGUUAGACAGAGAGAUGUAUAAGUUAGUCAGAGAGAUGUGUAAGUUAGACAGAGAGAUGUGUAAGUUAGACAGAGAGAUGUAUAAGUUAGUCAGAGAGAUGUAUAAGUUAGUCAGAGAGAUGUAUAAGUUAGUCAGAGAGAUGUAUAAGUUAGACAAGAGAUGUAUAAGUUAGUCAGAGAGAUGUAUAAGUUAGUCAGAGAGAUGUGUAAGUUAGACAGAGAGAUGUAUAAGUUAGUCAGAGAGAUGUGUAAGUUAGUCAGAGAGAUGUAUAAGUUAGUCAGAGAGAUGUAUAAGUUAGUCAGAGAGAUGUGUAAGUUAGACAGAGAGAUAUAUAAGUUAGACAGAGAGAUGUAUAAGUUAGUCAGAGAGAUGUGUAAGUUAGUCAGAGAGAUGUGUAAGUUAGUCAGAGAGAUGUGUAAGCUAGACAGAGAGAUGUGUAAGUUAGACAGAGAGAUGUAUAAGUUAGUCA
rnacentral:lncRNA from 1 species